rnacentral:rRNA from 1 species
UACGGAGGGUGCAAGCGUUAAUCGGAAUUACUGGGCGUAAAGGGUCUGUAGGUGGAUUGUUAAGUCAGAUGUGAAAGCCCAGGGCUCAACCUUGGAACUGCAUUUGAUACUGGCAAACUAGAGUAUAGUAGAGGGAUGAGGAAUUUCUGGUGUAGCGGUGAAAUGCGUAGAGAUCAGAAGGAACACCAAUGGCGAAGGCAACAUCCUGGACUAAUACUGACACUGAGGGACGAAAGCGUGGGGAUCAAACAGG